rnacentral:rRNA from 1 species
ACGGGGCGCAGCAGGCGCGAAACCUCCGCAAUGUGAGCAAUCGCGACGGGGGGAUUCCAAGUGCCAUUCUUAACGGGAUGGCUUUUCAUUAGUGUAAAGAGCUUUUGGAAUAAGAGCUGGGCAAGACCGGUGCCAGCCGCCGCGGUAACACCGGCAGCUCUAGUGGUAGCAGUUUUUAUUGGGCCUAAAGCGUCCUGUAGCCGGUUUAUUAAGUCUCUGGUGAAAUCUUGCACGCUUAACUGUGGGAAUUGCUGGAGAUACUAGUAGGCUUGAGAUCGGGAGAGGUUAGAGGUACUCCCAGGGUAGAGGUGAAAUUCUGUAAUCCUGGGAGGACCGCCUGUGGCGAAGGCGUCUGACUGGAACGAUUCUGACGGUGAGGGACGAAAGCUAGGGGCGCGAACCGGAUUAGAUACCCGGGUAGUCCUAGCUGUAAACGAUGCGGACUUGGUGUUGGGAUGGCUUUGGGCUGUUUCAGUGCCGAAGGGAAGCUGUUAAGUCCGCCGCCUGGGAAGUACGGUCGCAAGACUGAAACUUAAAGGAAUUGGCGGG